ACUGCUCAGUAACACGUAGUCAACAUGCCCAGGGGACGUGGAUAACCUCGGGAAACUGAGAAUAAACCGCGAUAGGCCAAGAUUUCUGGAAUGAAUCAUGGUUUAAAUCUAUAUGGCCCCUGGAUUGGACUGCGGCCGAUCAGGCUGUUGGUGAGGUAAUGGCCCACCAAACCUGUAACCGGUACGGGCUCUGAGAGGAGGAGCCCGGAGAUGGGCACUUAGACAAGGGCCCAGGCCCUAUGGGGCGCAGCAGGCGCGAAACCUCUGCAAUAAGCGAAAGCUUGACAGGGUUACUCUGAGUGAUUUCCGCUAAGGAAGUCUUUUGGCACCUCUAAAAAUGGUGCAGAAUAAGGGGUGGGCAAGUCUGGUGUCAGCCGCCGCGGUAAUACCAGCACCCCGAGUGGUCGGGACGAUUAUUGGGCCUAAAGCAUCCGUAGCCGGUCCUGCAAGUCCUCCGUUAAAUCCACCCGCUCAACGGUUGGGCCGCGGGGGAUACUACAGGGCUAGGAGGCGGGAGAGGCAAGCGGUACUCGAUGGGUAGGGGUAAAAUCCACUGAUCCAUUGAAGACCACCAGUGGCGAAGGCGGCUUGCCAGAACGCGCUCGACGGUGAGGGAUGAAAGCUGGGGGAGCAAACCGGAUUAGAUACCCGGGUAGUCCCAGCUGUAAACGAUGCAGACUCGGUGAUGGGCUGGCUUCGUGCCAACCCGGUGCCGCAGGGAAGCCGUUAAGUCUGCCGCCUGGGGAGUACGGUCGCAAGACUGAAACUUAAAGGAAUUGGCGGGGGAGCA
rnacentral:rRNA from 1 species